rnacentral:rRNA from 1 species
AGCAGCCGCGGUAAUCCCAGCUCCAAUAGCGUAUAUUAAAGUUGCUGCAGUUAAAAAGCUCGUAGUUGAAUUUCGGGACCAUCAUGUCGGUCGUGCCUCGGUACGUACUGGUAUUGUUGGUUUCUCCCUUCUGACGAACCAUGAUGUCAUUUAUUUGGUGUUGUGGGGAAUCAGGACUGUUACUUUGAAAAAAUUAGAGUGUUUAAAGCAGGCUCACGCUUGAAUACAUUAGCAUGGAAUAAUGAAAUAGGACGUUUGAUUCUAUUUUGUUGGUUUCUAGGAUCGACGUAAUGAUUAAUAGGGAUAGUUGGGGGCAUUAGUAUUCAAUUGUCAGAGGUGAAAUUCUUGGAUUUAUUGAAGACUAACUACUGCGAAAGCAUUUGCCAAGGAUGUUUUCAUUAAUCAAGAACGAAAGUUAGGGGAUCGAAGACGAUCAGAUACCGUCGUAGUCUUAACCAUAAACUAUGCCGACUAGGGAUCGGAUGAUGUUAAUUUUUUAAUGACUCAUUCGGCGCCUUACG